GACGUAGGAUGCGAGCGUUGUCCGGAUUUAUUGGGCGUAAAGAGUUCGUAGGUGGUUCGUUAAGUCUGAUGUUAAAGACUGGGGCUCAACCCUGGGAGUGCAUUGGAUACUGGCGGACUGGAGUGCAGUAGAGGCAAGCGGAAUUCCCAGUGUAGCGGUGAAAUGCGUAGAUAUCGGGAAGAACACCCGUGGCGAAGGCGGCACUCUGGGACGGUACUGACGCUGAGACGCGAAAGCGUGGGGAGCGAACAGG
rnacentral:rRNA from 1 species